rnacentral:rRNA from 1 species
UAGGAUAGAGGCCUACCAUGGUGGUAACGGGUAACGGGGAAUUAGGGUUCGAUUCCGGAGAGGGAGCCUGAGAAACGGCUACCACUUCCAAGGAAGGCAGCAGGCGCGCAAAUUACCCAAUCCCGACACGGGGAGGUAGUGACAAUAAAUAACAAUACGGGGCUCUUUCGGGUCUCGUAAUUGGAAUGAGUACAAUUUAAAUCCCUUAACGAGGAACAAUUGGAGGGCAAGUCUGGUGCCAGCAGCCGCGGUAAUUCCAGCUCCAAUAGCGUAUAUUAAAGUUGUUGCAGUUAAAAAGCUCGUAGUUGAAUUUCGGGAUUGACACAUCGGUCGUGCCUUAAGGGGUAUGAACUGGUGUAGUCAAUUUCUCACCUUCUGGAGAACCGCGAUGCCCUUAAUUGGGUGUCGCGGGGAAUCAGGACCUUUACUUUGAAAAAAUUAGAGUGUUUAAAGCAGGCAUUUUGCUUGAAUACAUUAGCAUGGAAUAAUAAAAUAGGACGGCAUGAUUCUAUUUUGUUGGUUUCUAGGAUCACCGUAAUGAUUAAUAGGGAUAGUUGGGGGCAUUAGUAUUCAAUUGUCAGAGGUGAAAUUCUUGGAUUUAUUGAAGACUAACUACUGCGAAAGCAUUUGCCAAGGAUGUUUUCAUUAAUCAAGAACGAAAGUUAGGGGAUCGAAGACGAUCAGAUACCGUCGUAGUCUUAACCAUAAACUAUGCCGACUAG